GUUGACCUCGAAUCAGGUAGGACUACCCGCUGAACUUAAGCAUAUCAAUAAGCGGAGGAAAUCGAAUUC
rnacentral:rRNA from 1 species